CGGCGACGGGUGAGUAACACGUGGAUAACCUACCUAUAAGACAGGGAUAACUUCGGGAAACCGGAGCUAAUACCGGAUAAUAUAUUGAACCGCAUGGUUCAAUAGUGAAAGACGGUUUUGCUGUCACUUAUAGAUGGAUCCGCGCCGCAUUAGCUAGUUGGUAAGGUAACGGCUUACCAAGGCAACGAUGCGUAGCCGACCUGAGAGGGUGAUCGGCCACACUGGAACUGAGACACGGUCCAG
rnacentral:rRNA from 1 species